rnacentral:RNase_P_RNA from 1 species
UAGGCCAGCUAAACAGUCGCUCAGCGUAGCUGGGAGGAAAGUCCGGGCUCCAUGGGGCAGAGUGCCAGGUAACACCUGGGGGCGAAAGCCUACGGAAAGUGCAACAGAAAGUAUACCGCUGUCGAAUUUCUCGAUAGUAAGGUUGAAAUGGUGCGGUAAGAGCGCACCGCGUUAGGUGGUAACAACAACGGCGAUGGUAAACCCCACUCGGAGCAAGGCCAAAUAGGAAUCCUUUAACGUGCAGCUCACACGUGGAUUUGGGUAGGCUGCUUGAGGUGUGUGGUGACACACAUCCUAGAUAGAUGACUGUUCACGACAGAACCCGGCUUAUCAGCUGGCCAAUUUA